rnacentral:rRNA from 1 species
GAUGAACGCUGGCGGCGUGCCUAAUACAUGCAAGUCGAGCGAACGGACGAGAAGCUUGCUUCUCUGAUGUUAGCGGCGGACGGGUGAGUAACACGUGGAUAACCUACCUAUAAGACUGGGAUAACUUCGGGAAACCGUAGCUAAUACCGGAUAAUAUUUUGAACCGCAUGGUUCAAAAGUGAAAGACGGUCUUGCUGUCACUUAUAGAUGGAUCCGCGCUGCAUUAGCUAGUUGGUAAGGUAACGGCUUACCAAGGCAACGAUGCAUAGCCGACCUGAGAGGGUGAUCGGCCACACUGGAACUGAGACACGGUCAAGACUCCUACGGGAGGCAGCAUUAGGGAAUCUUCCGCAAUGGGCGAAAGCCUGACGGAGCAACGCCGCGUGAGUGAUGAAGGUCUUCGGAUCGUAAAACUCUGUUAUUAGGGAAGAACAUAUGUGUAAGUAACUGUGCACAUCUUGACGGUACCUAAUCAGAAAGCCACGGCUAACUACGU